rnacentral:rRNA from 1 species
UGAAUACGAGAUGCUACGGCGUCGAAGCAGUGUAUGUCAGACUUCCAAGAAAAGCUCGCAAUGUCAUAAAUAAAGAAUGCCUGUACCAUAACCGACACAGGUGGGUAGGUAGAGUAUACUAAGGGGCGCGAGAUAACUCUCUCUAAGGAACUCGGCAAAAUAACUCCGUAACUUCGGGAGAAGGAGUGCCUUCUUUAAGAAGGUUGCAAUAACAAGAUCCAAGCAACUGUUUAUCAAAAACACAGGUCUCCGCUAAGUCGUAAGACGAUGUAUGGGGGCUGACGCCUGCCCAGUGCCAGAAGGUUAAAGAAGUUGGUUAGCUUUUGCGAAGCUGAUGACUGAAGCCCUGGUGAACGGCGGCCGUAACUAUAACGGUCCUAAGGUAGCGAAAUUCCUUGUCGGGUAAGUUCCGACCCGCACGAAAGGCGUAAUGAUUUGGAUACUGUCUCGGAGAGGGACUCGGUGAAAUAGACUUGUCUGUGAAGAUGCGGACUACCUGCACCAGGACAGAAAGACCCUAUGAAGCUUUACUGUAACUUGAAAUUGAAAUUGGACUUUAUUUGCGCAGUAUAGGUGGAAGGCGUUGAAAGUAAUCUUGCGGGAUUAGUGGAGCCAUCAGUGAGAUACCACUCCUAUAAUGUUAGAUUUCUAACUUUGGAUCAUGAUCUGGUCAAAGAACAGUUUCAGGCGGGCAGUUUGACUGGGGCGGUCGCCUCCCAAAUGGUAACGGAGGCGUACAAAGGUUUCCUCUGAACGGGUAGAAAUCGUAUCUAGAGUGUAAAGGCAUAAGGAAGCUUGACUGUGAGACCUACAAGUCGAGCAGGGACGAAAGUCGGUCUUAGUGAUCUGACGGUGCUGAGUGGAAAGGCCGUCACUCAACGGAUAAAAGUACUCUAGGAUAACAGGCUGAUCUCCCCCAAGAGUUCACAUCGACGGGGAGGUUUGGCACCUCGAUGUCGGCUCAUCGCAUCCUGGGGCGGUAGUACGUCCCAAGGGUUGGGCUGUUCGCCCAUGAAAGCGGUACGCGAGCUGGGUUCAGAACGUCGUGAGACAGUUCGGUCCAUAUCCGGUGUAGGCGUUAGAAUAUUGAGAGGAGCCUUCUUUAGUACGAGAGGACCGAGAAGGACAUACCUCUGGUGUACCAGUUAUCGUGCCAACGGUAAACGCUGGGUAGCUAUGUAUGGAGAGGAUAACCGCUGAAAGCAUCUAAGUGGGAAGCCCACCUCAAGAUGAGUAUUCUGGUGUAAGGUCACGGGAAGACGACCCGUAAAUAGGCACGAGGUGGAAGUGCAGAGAUGUAUGAAGCCGAAGUGUACUAAUAGACCGUCGGCUUGACC